rnacentral:misc_RNA from 1 species
AUAUUAUUAUAUUUAAUAAAUUUAUGCGUGUUGAAUAUACUUUAAAAAUAAAUAAUAAAAUAUGCUUAUCCACUAAAAUUUCAUAACCAUCUUUUUUCUUUAUUUUUUUUAACUUUUGUUUGUUUUCAUAUUUACAUAUCACAAUUUUUUUUUUUCCUUUUCUCAUCACUCUUUUCUUUUUAUUAUUUUUUCUCCCAUCCUUUACUAAUUGAGUCUUUUUUUUUUCAUUUUUAUAACAAUAAAACUGAUGAACAAACUAAAUUUCAUAAGUUCAAUUUUUUAUUUUUAAUUAAUAAUUCAUAUUUUAUUAUUUUAUUAGUAAUAAGAAUUAAGUUUUUUUUCUAAUUAUUCAUACAUAUUUUAAAUGUAAGUAAACUUUACUUAUUUAAUUUUACAAUCAAUUAAAAAAUUAAUAUUUGUUGAUUUUUUUAAACUAGCAAAUCAAAUUAAAUACGUAAAGUUUACUUACAUUUA